rnacentral:rRNA from 1 species
UACGAAGGGGGCUAGCGUUGCUCGGAAUCACUGGGCGUAAGCGCACGUAGGCGGACUCUUAAGUCGGUGGUGAAAUCCUGGAGCUCAACUCCAGAACUGCCUUCGAUACUGAGAGUCUCGAGUCCGAGAGAGGUGAGUGGAACUGCGAGUGUAGAGGUGAAAUUCGUAGAUAUUCGCAAGAACACCAGUGGCGAAGGCGGCUCACUGGCUCGGUACUGACGCUGAGGUGCGAAAGCGUGGGGAGCAAACAGG